UUUUUUGCUAACCGCCAAUAAAACUUGAAAAGAAGAAAAAGCCGCUGCAUUCACUAGACACACUGUGGAUAACUUCACUGUGUUUCGUGGGAAUAACAGAUUAAGCCUAAGAGGCGAAGAUAUGACUACUGAGAACAUUGCAGUCAUAUUUCAGGAUUCAGGUUGGAGUGAGGGAUCUUUCCAGAGACGAGCUACGCGGAGGAGUUUGACAGCCUGACGCACCUGCAUUGGAUUCCGGUAACCAGCGGCUGGCUUCUUAAGAAGCGGUGGAACCACCAGUCAUCGCUCGAUGGUUACCACUUGUUGAUCUUGAUCCCGCUUCCCGGAGCCAAGCCUGGAACUCCACCGGUCAGGCGCGUCUCGUUGGUUGGCACCUCCAAACAGUUCUGAUCCGCUGCGGCCCGGGACCCCCGAACCUACCUGGACUCUCGUUCCCUCCUGACGUCCCCCAGUCUCAAUUCUACCUCAUUAAAACAAACCCUCGUAACCGUAAAAAUCUGUUCUUCUGUGCGCACCUGCAUGUGGGCAAGGAAAUUAAAAUCCAACAUGACAACAUCGACUUAAAGUUAAUUUUGUUUGCUUAAGAUUAAUUCUUUGUAUUUUCCUAUGUUGUACUUACCUGCCUUGGAGUUGCCAGACAAAAGAAUGCAUGAACAACCGCUGCGAUGCGCAUCUCUGGAAUCUACCUGGAAUCUAC